rnacentral:rRNA from 1 species
UACGUAGGGGGCUAGCGUUGUCCGGAAUCAUUGGGCGUAAAGAGCGCGUAGGCGGCCAGAUAAGUCCGGUGUGAAAGUCACAGGCUCAACCUGUGAAUGCCGCUGGAAACUGUCUGGCUAGAGUCCGGAAGGGGCGAGUGGAAUUCCUGGUGUAGCGGUGAAAUGCGCAGAUAUCAGGAGGAACACCGAUGGCGAAGGCAGGUCUCUGGGCCAUAACUGACGCUGAGAAGCGAAAGCAUGGGGAGCGAACGGG